UCCACUGCAGAUAUUGCACAGAAGCAAGUCAUAAUAGUGGAGGGUGCAAAUUGAAAAAAAUGGAUUUCAGCUCUAGAGAUGCAAAGAACCUUGUUGCAAAUACCAGAGCCAGACUAUAAGAGGAGGCUGAACAAGCAGCUGUUCAAUCAGCUAAUAUUGUUUCUCAUGGAUACCAACCAGAUGAUGUUAGCCAGAGUACAAGCAAUGUUCCUAUCAACUAGGAUGGUAGUGAACAAGUCCAAGUUGAGGUAAUCACACAAGCAAGCACAACCAUGUUAAGUCAAAUGACAGAAGAGGAAACUCAGGGUGUUUCUUCACUUUCACAACCUGUUGGACCAUUGCCAGACAGUCAAUUCAUUGCUUCCAACCAAUUGACCCAAAGACCAGUGGAACUGACUAUCACCUCCAAGGCAGGGAAGGCAAGACUUGCAAAGAAGAGGAAGGUCAACAGCAAGUCUGCAGCAGCCAAGAAGAGGAAGAAUUGAAAGUGAUAGUGAAAUAGAGCUUUUGUGGAAGACAGAUCAUGUUCUGACUUGCCCUUAGUUUAAGUAAUCCAAUUUAAGCAUCCAUGUAAUAUGU